UGUCCAGCUCCCCACCCCCACUGCUUUUCUUCCUUUUUGCCUUUUUCCUUCUUAAUUAAUCAUACGCUGCUGCCCAAUUUAAAUAUGGAAAUGCCCAGGCCGAGGCGAUGCAAUUAUUCAUGAGGGCCGGGCGGCUGUCCGGGGCUCUCGGGCUGUGGGGAGUACCGUGGCAUCGCCUCCGUUCUGAUGUGUGUGAAAUUAUGUGCACAAAAGGCGCCUCCUUAUCUGGGUGUGUGAACUAAAUAAAUAAAUAAGGGCUUUUGUUUGUUUGCCGGCUCCUGCACAUGGCUGCUGGGACUCAAGCGCUCGUGUUGUCUGCGCCUCUGUGGGACUCGGGAGACGGGAGGCAGGGGAGGCCCCCGCAGGCCGGCCAGGGGCUGGGGGCUGGGGGCCGGCCGCCGGGCACCUGGGGCCCUCUCCCUCCCCUGGCACCACCCUCACCCCGCAGCUCCCCCCCAUACACACCCUCGCUGGAAAGUUCGCCCUGCCCGGGCUGGGCUCCCAGGCAGCCUGGCACCGUGCCAGGCUCGCCGCCGAGCUCGGGCAGCAGGGUGGGGCAAACGCAGAGCACGGAGGACGGGGCCGGGCGACCUGGGCACCAGCACGACCCGAGGCCAGGAGCCAGGGGCCCAGAAGAUUGAGCUUCUAGAGCCUCAGAGAUGGAAUUCGCUGUUUUGCCACGAUUUGACGUUAAAUUAUUGACCCAUGGGAAGGAGGGUAACUUCCCCUGAAAAGAAGGCAGAGAUGUUUUGCUGUGCCCAGUGUGAGGAAGCGAAGGAAAAGAAAGAUCUUUUGAAAAUGUGUACAUCUACUUGCAGCUUAAAAAUUCCAAGUGCCAGACAUUUUUCUUAGAGGAAAUAAAUGUCUUCAAUUUAUUAAUCUUACCUGUUGAUUAUGUUCUGUAAUGUUUUAUUUUAUAAUUUAGUCCUUGUCUAGAUCCGAGGCCGUCUUUGGAAAGUAAAAGACCUAGGUCUCUUUGGUCCAGGAGACAUCGUGGCCCUCUGUUAAAAUCAUUGACUGCCGAGAUCUGGGCCCAGGCGGCUCUCGGACUGCACCGGUCUGUGCUAGGCAGCCUGGCCCCCUCGGCCUUCAAAAAACAAGGGAUGGGAGGGGAGACAUAUGCUCGGCUCACAUCGUUUUGUUUUGAUUUAUUUUAAACUGCCUAAGAUGAUUUUAGCACAAAGAGUGGUGUAUCUUACUUGCAUCUGAGAGCCACUGGAUUUUCAAGCUCGAGUAUAAUUUUUUUAAUCCAAAUUUAGAACUUGCCUUUUAGAGUAGACAGCAGCAUGCUAGUUUGCCUUUUAACUCACUUUUAAAGAAAGAUUCUCAAGAUCAAGUACAUUGAAUUUGGAGAUUGGUCCCCCUCCGUUAUUAGGGGCUGGAAAUGGCCCACUUUUCAAAAAUAAGGUCAGAAAAGGGGUGUUUCUGACCUAAGAGUUCUUCCAGGCUGGGCUGGUACCACAGAGAUUCUUCCACAGCCAUGUCCUGAGUCCUUGUCCUAUACACAAUUUUUUCUUCCAAGGAGGAGUGCGGCAUUCAGUUCCAAUGUCAUCGUGUGGAAGAGUCCCUGCCUGGCUGAGAAACUGUCACAGGCAGCCGGGCCACUUCCCAGCAUGACCCACAAGCCCGAUGGUGCCCCUCGAGUGGUUAAGGGACCCGUACAGAUACCAUUCUUCUAAAGCAAGCCAACGCAAUCUUCAUGAAUUGCAGUUCCACCCUGGCUGCUGGUACUAACUCUAAUGAUGGAAAAAAUUUAAAAGAUUGGGGACAACAGGAAACACAUUGGAUCCCCAAGGGAAACGGCCUGGAAGCUAAAGUACAGACACGGGUGACCCAAGGGCUCUGUUCAAGUCUUGGGGUUGUUCCCUUUAUUCCUCCAAGCCUCAGCUCCCCGGAUUUAAAGUGAGGACAGCACCCAGCCCAGCCCACUGUCAAGGGCUGUUGCAGGAAUAUGACAACAGCCACCAAUAUUUGCAUAGCAGAGAUGCCCAGUUUCAUUUUCUAUUUGAAAGUUUCUCUGAAGGGGGAUGUGCUGGAGACACGAGAACAACUGCUAUCAUCUUAAUAACUUUUCUGGCAAUACACGACGAUGAUUGUUUAUGUUAAUCUCAUAACUAUUAACAAUAAUUCAUUUCAUUCUCAUAAUGAAUUAUAUCUAUUUGACUUAUAAUAAAUAUAAUCAUAUCAGUAA